AUGCUUUCGUUCCACGGACGUCGUCCUCGGCGGUUAUACCUUCGAAGCGUGCAUUCGGGGCGGAACGCGUUAGAAGUGGAAGUAGUUGUUCACGGGUCGCCGAGGGAAGUAGUGGUACACGGCGACGGUAGUGGUACACGUUUUCGUAAAUGUUCGAGGUCGUCGGUAGAGGUACUUGACGUCCACGGGGUCGACGCUAGAGUUACCCACGUUGUCGGGGUACUUGUUGUUCCGGGCUUGGCAUCCGUAGAUGUACACGGCAAUCGUCGUGGUACUUGGCGGUUCCGUGUCGUCGAACUUGACGAUCCAAGGGGGAACUUGGCGCAUCAUCGGAUAGUUGUACACUUGUUGGAGAGAAUCUUGGCGCAACCAAAACGAAGCAACACAAAACAUCACAAGGGCCUCGGGAUGCCAGCAGCAAGGAGGCGACGGUGGUGGUGUGCUCGAGCAAAACCGACGGGGACAGGGCACCGGAGGAGGAACAUCGACGGCUUGGCGAGGCGAAGCAGAGGGCCGCGGGUGCUGGGAUUUGGCGAUGCAGAAGACCACGGCAGCGGCGGCUAUUGGCGCGGUGACGAGGAACGGAAAGCGGCAGCGACGAGAGGAGGCAGGCGCAGCGACGGGGAGGUAGUGGAGGCGCUGGUCGCGGAGGUCGAUGGAGAGGGGCUUGGCGCGGCGGGGACGAACUCGCUCCGGCGAGGGUGCAGAGGUCCAAGGCACGGCUCUCGUCGACGUGGACGAGGCGAGGAGGAGCUUGGGCGCGGGACGGCGGCCUGGUGGCGUUGGCGCUCCUGUGGCCAAUCAUGGCGGCGGCGGAGAGGCGCGACGGACGGCGGUCGUGCACUCCGGCGGCGGAAGGCGACGCGAGGCAAAGGAGGAGCGGCAGCGGGGCCGCGAGGGGAGGAGGCUGCUGCGGGCGGCCGGUGCUCGAGGAACUCCUCUCCUCGGGCGCUCGGCGACAGGGAGGUCUUGCUCCUCUCCUCUCUCUGGGUGGCGGUGCAAGGGAGAGGACGAGAGGAAGAGGGUGAGGGGAUCGGGAGGAUGAGACAGGGGAGGCUGGCGGCGCUGCAGGGGAGAUGA
rnacentral:rRNA from 1 species